rnacentral:rRNA from 1 species
UUGCCCUAGUAACGGCGAGUGAAGCGGCAACAGCUCAGAUUUGAAAUCUGGCGCCUUCGGCGUCCGAGUUGUAAUCUGUAGAGGAUGCUAUUGGGUAGCCACCGGUCUAAGUCCCCUGGAACGGGGCGUCGCAGAGGGUGAGAAUCCCGUAUGUGACCGGAAGGGCGCCCUCCACAUAGCUCCUUCGACGAGUCGAGUUGUUUGGGAAUGCAGCUCUAAAUGGGAGGUAAAUUCCUUCUAAAGCUAAAUACCGGCCAGAGACCGAUAGCGCACAAGUAGAGUGAUCGAAAGAUGAAAAGCACUUUGGAAAGAGAGUUAAAAAGCACGUGAAAUUGUUGAAAGGGAAGCGCUUGCAACCAGACUUGUUGGCGGUGUUCCGCCGGUCUUCUGACCGGUGUACUCACCGUCUGCAGGCCAGCAUCAUCUGGGGCCGCCGGAUAAAAGCGGGGGGAAUGUGGCUCCUCCGGGAGUGUUAUAGCCCCUCGUGCAAUACGGCGUGCCUCGGGUGAGGUCCGCGCUUCGGCUAGGAUGCUGGCGUAAUGGUCGUAAGCGGCCCGUCUUGAAACACGGACCAAGGAGUCUAACAUCUAUGCGAGUGUUCGGGUGUCAAACCCCUACGCGUAAUGAAAGUGAACGGAGGUGGGAGCCUUAGGGUGCACCAUCGACCGAUCCUGAUGUCUUCGGAUGGAUUUGAGUAAGAGCAUAGCUGUUGGGACCCGAAAGAUGGUGAACUAUGCCUGGAUAGGGUGAAGCCAGAGGAAACUCUGGUGGAGGCUCGCAGCGGUUCUGACGUGCAAAUCGAUCGUCAAAUUUGGGUAUAGGGCGAAAGACUAAU